rnacentral:rRNA from 1 species
AUUGAACGCUGGCGGCAGGCCUAACACAUGCAAGUCGAGCGGAUGAAGGGAGCUUGCUCCUGGAUUCAGCGGCGGACGGGUGAGUAAUGCCUAGGAAUCUGCCUGGUAGUGGGGGAUAACGUCCGGAAACGGGCGCUAAUACCGCAUACGUCCUGAGGGAGAAAGUGGGGGAUCUUCGGACCUCACGCUAUCAGAUGAGCCUAGGUCGGAUUAGCUAGUUGGUGGGGUAAAGGCCUACCAAGGCGACGAUCCGUAACUGGUCUGAGAGGAUGAUCAGUCAAAACGGAACUGAGAAAAGGUACAGACUCCUAAGGGAGGCAGCAGUGGGGAAUAUUGGAAAAUGGGGGAAAGCCUGAUACAGGCAAGCCGGGGGUGUGAAGAAGGGCUUCGGAUUGGAAAGCACUUUAAGUUGGGAGGAAGGGCAGUAAGUUAAUACCUUGCUGUUUUGACGUUACCAACAGAAUAAGCACCGGCUAACUUCGUG